rnacentral:rRNA from 1 species
GUCUCAACGGGUAACGGGGAAUUAGGGUUCUAUUCCGGAGAGGGAGCCUGAGAAACGGCUACCACAUCCAAGGAAGGCAGCAGGCGCGCAAAAUUACCCAAUCCCAAUUCGGGGAGGUAGUGACAAUAAAUACUGAUACAGGGCUCUUUUGGGUCUUGUAAUUGGAAUGAGUACAAUCUAAAUCCCUUAACGAGGAACAAUUGGAGGGCAAGUCUGGUGCCAGCAGCCGCGGUAAUUCCAGCUCCAAUAGCGUAUAUUAAAGUUGUUGCCGUUAAAAAGACUCGUAGUUGAACCUUGGGCCUGGCUGAUCUGUCCUCCUAAUCGAGCGCACGGAUUCGGUCGGGCCUUUCCUUCUGGGGAGCCCGAUGCCCUUCACUGGGCGUCGUGGGGAACCAGGACUUUUACCUUGAAAAAUUAGAGUGUUCAAAGCAGGCCUUUGCUCGAAUACAUUAGCAUGGAAUAAUAGAAUAGGACAGAGGUUCUAUUUUGUUGGUUUCUAGGACCGCUGUAAUGAUUAAUAGGGAUAGUCGGGG